UACGUAGGUGGCAAGCGUUAUCCGGAAUUAUUGGGCGUAAAGCGCGCGCAGGCGGUUCUUCAAGUCAGAGGUGAAAGCCCAGAGCUCAACUCUGGAAUGGCCUUUGAGACUAGAGAACUAGGGUACGGGAGAGGUGAGUGGAAUUCCGAGUGUAGAGGUGAAAUUCGUAGAUAUUCGGAAGAACACCAGUGGCGAAGGCGGCUCACUGGCCCGUUACCGACGCUCAGGCGCGACAGCGUGGGGAGCAAACAGG
rnacentral:rRNA from 1 species